UUUUUGUCUAAAAGUAAGAAAAAGAACUGUUUCCAGAUUCCUGAAUAUAGAUCUUAUAGUUGCAUCCUGUAAAAGUUAUAUAUAACCCGAGAUUGCCUAUUUUAAAGCUAAUUUCCAUCAUUACUUCUAUUUUAAAACUGGAAAUGCAUUCCAGGGGGAACGACAAUAACAGACAGGAAGAUAGUUCUUCUGUUGUCAUGUGGCUCAUUUUUAACAAGGAAAAGACUGGAAGUCCCUCCCUUUACUGGUCCAAAGAAUAAAGUCUGGCUUUGCUGGGUCUGACAUUUUCAAACUUACUAAACAUGGCCAAUUUGUGUCAUGACACGGAAAUAAACUGGCAACAGGAAAUCCUUCCCCUUUCAAAAAACAGAGGCUCUAGAGUCAGAUCAGCUACCUUUAAAUUUUGGCUGUAUCCGUUGCUGCCUAGGAGACCACAAACAAGUGUCUUAACUCUCUGUACUUUGCUUUAUUCAUUUUUAAAAUGGCAAUAUUAACAUAGUCUUUUUGACUGUUUGUUGACAUCAAAUGAGUUAGUACAUAUAAAGUCUUAGAUAGCAUCUGGCACUCAAAGAAAAUACAUGAUAGGGUGGGUCAGUCACUUAAAUUUACCAAAUCAAAAAAUUAGUUGUUAGGAAAUAAAGGAAUAUAAGAUCUUUAUUUUAAUUAAAGUUCAUAAAUAAAGUACCCAUAAAUGGGUAAAUGGACUAUAAAGACUACACCUUCUGUAUGCUGGAUACUCUAGCACUGUGCAUACAUACAAGUAUAUUCACUGUACUAUACUACCUGUUUGGUAGUAUAGAAAUAUAGAAAUUGAGAGAAAGCAUUUCCAUUUUAGUCAAGAACUUAGCCAUUUAGUUUCCCCACUAGCUAAUACCUGCCUAUUAUGGGCUAGGAAAACCGAGCAAAAAUGUGUACUAUUUACUUAAUUUUAAAGACUUUUGAGUGCAGUCAGUAGGUAAGUCAGUAUUCACAAUACAGUGUAAGUGCCCAGUGACCUUCCAGCAUAGCAGGACAAUGUACUAGGCCUGUGGGGUCAGAGGGCUAUUAGUGAAGUGGUGCCUGAGCUGACCCUCAAGGAAUUAGUAGGAGUUGUCCUGAAGAUGGUGAGAGUCUGCAUUCCAAGUAGAAGGAAGCAAAAAUGUAGAAAUAGAAAUUAUGAUGCUGUGGCAUGCUAACGGCAAGUUGGUACUCAUUUGGUGAAUAUUUAUUGAGUAUGAGCUCAGUGCUUACCAAUAUACUAGCACUGUUAUACAGUAGUAAACAUAAUAAACAUAGUUCCUGCUUCAGGAGCUUAGAGUUUAGUGAGAGGCAGGGGAGCAAGAAGGGGUAGCCUAACAAAGCUCUCAGAUUGUGUAAGUUCUCUGUGCCAAUCAUUUAUCUAGACACAGAGCGCCUAGCAGUGAACAAGGCAGACUUGAUCCCUGUUAUCAUGGCAUUUGCCUUCUGGUGGGUGAAGUGAUGAAUGAAAAGCAGGCAGAUAAGAUUUUCACUUAUUUGCCAUAAAGAAGUAAAACAACUCAGUGCAAUAAGAUAGUGAUUGGUGGGUUGAUGCUUUUAGUUAGAUGGUGGGGUAGGCAUCUCUGAGGAGCCAACAUUUAAACUGAGGCUGAGUGAGGAGAAAGAUUAUGUUCCAGUUAGAUGGAACAGCAAGUACAUAGACCUUGUGCAGGAGUAAAUUGGGCAUGAUUGGAGUACAGGAAGAAGGCCACCGUGACUGGAGCACAGUGAGCAGCUGGGAGUGGGUGAGAUGAAGUAGGCAGGGGCCAGAUCCGGUUCUCCACACAGGAAAGCCUAAGAAAUUAAAAGUAAAUGAACCCACCAGCUGUUUCUUUCAAAAGACCAAUAAGAUGCAUUAAAUCCUUGCAUGCCUGAUCAAAAUAAAAAGAGUGGAAAUAUAUAACAUUAGUAAUGAGAAUAGACCUAUAACCAUAUAUACAAAAGAAAUUAAAGUAAUCAUAAAGGCAUAGUAUAUGGAAUUUUGUGGCUGCAACUUUGAAAAUGUAGGGGGAAAUGAAUCAUUUCUUAUCAAAAGACAAAUCUCUGAAAGAAUUGAAAAACUGAAGAGAUUAGACACGUGAUUUUAAAAAAUAAUACUCCUUUUAAAAAAGAAACACUUGGUUAUAUGUAAACAAGGGGAAGUGUGCAGCUAUAAAACAUGAUAAAGUUCUUGAUGCACAACUGUGGAAUAAUGUUCAAAUUAUAUUGUUAAAU